GACGAACGCUGGCGGCGUGCUUAACACAUGCAAGUCGAACGGAAAGGCCCUGCUUUUGUGGGGUGCUCGAGUGGCGAACGGGUGAGUAACACGUGAGUAACCUUCCCUUGACUUUGGGAUAACUUCAGGAAACUGGGGCUAAUACCGGAUAGGAGCUCCUGCUGCAUGGUGGGGGUUGGAAAGUUUCGGCGGUUGGGGAUGGACUCGCGGCUUAUCAGCUUGUUGGUGGGGUAGUGGCUUACCAAGGCUUUGACGGGUAGCCGGCCUGAGAGGGUGGCCGGCCACAUUGGGACUGAGAUACGGCCCAGACUCCUACGGGAGGCAGCAGUGGGAAAUAUUGCACAAUGGGCGGAAGCCUGAUGCAGCAACGCCGCGUGCGGGAUGACGGCCUUCGGGUUGUAAACCGCUUUCGCCUGUAACGAAGCGUGAGUGACGGUAAUGGGUAAAGAAGCAACGGCUAACUACGUG
rnacentral:rRNA from 1 species